GAAGGUUAAAAUAUGUUGACUGAAUUUUCUGCUGCCACCAUUCAGCAGCAGCUAGGCUAUGCCUCUCAUGAUCAUGACACGUAGUGGAAAUUUUCCUGGCUUCUAUACAUCAUCAUCUCUGCCUGGUUAAGUAAAGGGCACUGAACAAGUGAAGCUGUGCUGAAAACAACAGUGGCCAAGGCAGAGAUAUUCUUAUACCUCAACCCGUUGUGCAGAUGGAAGUCUGGCCAAAAAACCAUAAAGCAUCAAGUCUGACUGUGAGUCAAUCUGUCAGCACAAGUACAAGAUUGGUUUGCCAUGGCUCUUUGAAACAGUUACUCUUGUCCUCAUUGUAGAGAUGGCGAUACUAAGGCAGAAUAUGGCUAGCCUGGACUUCUUUUUGUGGAGACUGGAUUCCAAGAUUGAAAGUAGAAGCUACAUGUUUUCUCCAAGCAGGGCUUUCAGACUUCACUUCUGCAACAUUUUAUUGAUGAAAGCAAGUCACAAGACCAGACUGAUUCAAGGGGUGGAGAAAUAGACCCUACUUCUUGAUGGAGGGAGGAGUAGAGUUACAUUGCAAAGGGAUCUGGACAAAAAAAGGAGUGAUUUAUUAGGAAUCAUGUUUAACAAUUUACCACAAUCCCCAGCGCA
rnacentral:lncRNA from 1 species